GAUUGCUAGAGUGGAGACUGUGCACUGCAACGAAGUUGGCCGGUCGGUUGAUAAGCUGUCUUCAGCAUGGAUCAGCAGAUACAAUUUUAGAGACUGCAAUGAGACGAAAAUAUCAGCUUGGAUGCAGCUACAGAGGUUCCAUCAAUGAAGCCAACAUCCUCGGAAGAAGUAUUAAGACAACAAUUGUACAAGCUACUUUACUUCACGGAGCUGUGCCAAAUCUGCCUCCCGUGCAUGGCAUCACUCCAGCCCUUUCUCGAAGGUUCCACAUGCUGCCAUUACAUCUCUACAAGAAGAAAACCGUGCCAGCCUCAACAGCCAGUGAUUUCAACUACUGAUAAUGGUGGCAGACAGCUAUAAAAAGCCCAAAUGUUUAUUUGAAGUGAUGUGGGUUGUAAACCAAGCAGAUGUUAUUAAAGUUCUGUUUUAUUUGAGUUCCCCUAGGGUUCAGAUGCUGUCAACCUGCAGAGUGUCAUUUGUACAUACUGUGAAGAGAAAAUAGAGAACACUUUACAGACAGUUAAAUAUGAUGAACUCCUAUUUAAAUAACUUGUAGUGUCAAUGAGGAAUAAUCAAUAUUAGGUGAAGGGGACUGAUUGCCUGGAAGGUGCCCACAGUGGCAAUAAGAUCCUAGUCAUAUCCAAG